AGGAAAAGGCAAAGAGAAAAAGAAGAAAGUGAAAGAACCCGUUGCACCAAAGAAGGCAACCGUCACUAGGACCAGUGAUCCGAAUCUUGCUCUUGCUAGCGAUAGAAAGAUAAAGGACCAUGUCUUUGAAGAAUUGGAGAAUAAAGAUCCAGAUUUGUUCCAAAAAUCCACACCUACUGUCAUGUGAAAACAGUUGCCAUAUCGAUUGAUAUCUUUCAGAAUUGUAUCAGAAAAGAGGAAGUUAUAAAAAGAUAAUAUUAAUA
rnacentral:lncRNA from 1 species